UACGAAGGGGGCUAGCGUUGUUCGGAUUUACUGGGCGUAAAGCGCACGUAGGCGGAUCUUUAAGUCAGAGGUGAAAUCCCAAGGCUCAACCUUGGAACUGCCUUUGAUACUGGGGAUCUUGAGUCCGGGAGAGGUGAGUGGAACUGCGAGUGUAGAGGUGAAAUUCGUAGAUAUUCGGAAGAACACCAGUGGCGAAGGCGGCUCACUGGUCCGGUACUGACGCUGAGGUGCGAAAGCGGUGGGG
rnacentral:rRNA from 1 species